AAAAUAGUUUAGUUCAAACUAGAAUAAAUGUAAAUUGACUCAAGUUGAAUUAGAAACAAGUUUGAAUAAUUUGUGAGUAGAUUUUAUUCAUUUACACCCGACUUUGGAGUCUGGAGAUCUCUCGUGGCCUUAUCAUUUUGUAUUGUUUAACUAAUACAUCGCCAUAGAUACAGGAGGAAGUAGGUUAGAGGGAUUUGAAGAAGAGGAAGAAGAAGAGGAGGAAGAAAGGAAAUGAAGAAGCUAAGAUGGGCAAUGGACGGAGGAUUCUGGGACGUAGACGUGUCGACGCCGAGAACCAUCGACGGGUUAGCUCGAGCCGCCCCCGGCGAGACUCUGCCUCUGGGAUUGUCCAGGGGUACGAGGCUUUCCAGACCUAAGCAGAUCCAUUUCAUGCACCACUUCAUGGCCAUGCCUUUUGUCCCUUCCUAUGCCGCUCAUGGCUUCUCCCUCCAACGCCUUUUCACUCUCCCCUUCUUCCCCGACUCAUGGUUUGCUGCUCUGCUGGGUCAGUUCCAUUUGCAGAAGUUUGUGUCUUCCGUUAAAGAGAUGAGGCGUUUGCAACCCUUAGAUUCCUCGUGCCUUCCAAUCAUUGCAAGACGUCUCUGUGAUAAGUCCUUUUAUGCUCUUGCUUUAUCUUCAGAGCUGUUGUUGACACCCAACGAUACGUUGCUUUUCAGCUCGGAACUGAAUGAUGCCGAGGAUCAGAAAUUCUCUCGAAAGAAAGCAGUUUUUCAACACAAGUUUCCAAAUCACAAUUUAACAGUGGAGGCAGUUUGGCCUGGACUUUUCAUUGAUAGGCCUGGUGCUUACUGGGAUGUGCCAUUGUCCAUUGCAAUCGAUCUAGCUUCUGUUGCCUCCGACUCUGGCGCAAGUUAUCAUUUGUGUUUGCACCAUAACAUGGGUUCACCCAAGCAGUGCCAAGGUGAUCAGACCCAUGUACCCUCUCAUCUACUUCCUGGUUUGUGCCUUAAAAAUGCUUUCUCCUUCAAGAAGAACAUCGACAUUUGGAGGAGUGAAGCACAGAAGCUGAAGAUGGUGCAACCAUUUGAUAUUUUCCUAUCAAACCCUCAUAUUUCAGCAUCUGGUAUCAUUGGUGCUGUUGGGACCGCUUCCCUUGGAGAUAAUUCAGUGAAAUCAAAAGUAGAAGAUGAAUCACUGGGUUUUGAAGGUUUAAGUUUUCAUGCUGCGGGAUUGAAAUCCGCCUUUUUAGCAGAUAUAUUUGCUUCUUUAUCAUUCACAGCCCAGCAUGGGAACUUUCAGAAACUGUUCCUAGAUCUUACCCGAUUUCAUGCUCACCUGGAUUUUCCUUCUGGAGUGAAAUUUAUUUCGGGCACUACGCGCUUAGCACAAGAUCUUUAUAAUUCCCAACAGCCAAGUGCAGAAGCUGUUCAGGCAAUUUGCCCCAGAGCUUCCCUUUCACUACAGCAACAGGUACCUAACAUUAAAAAAACUAAAAAUAAAAAAAAAAAAAAAAAAAAUCUGAUGUCUAUAUGUUUGAAAAAAUUGAUGAAUGUUUCAUGAGUCUCAACAAGGCUUAGUUAAUCUUAACAAGAGAGAAUAAUAGUUCAAUUAAGAUAGCCCUUUAAACAAAAUUUCUAGUGUCCCUUUUUGUGAAUUGAUCUGUUGUCAAAAUUAGUUUUAAAAGUCCUUAGUUGUCAAAGAAGCUUAUUCUAGUAUGUGUUAAAAACUGACUUCAGCUGUUGCAGGUUGAAUUGUUUCCACAAUGUUUGUUUUUUAAUCUAUCCUAUCUAAGCACUUUGGGAGUUUGUUGGUUUCAUUAGAAUAAUAAUUAAUUGUUCUAAGUUAAUAAUACUGUUAGGUUAUCACUUACCUAAAAGCUUAAGCUAUUAGGUUGUGGGCCAACAAGUAUAUCAAGCUUUAACACUCCCCCUCACGUGCAGCCUGAUAGCACUUGGAGAGAUGAGCACACUAUAAUAACACUCAUCACAGGGAAUACAAAAGUUUUUUAAAUACCACAUAAUAUAUACGGGCAACAAGACUAGAACCCAAGACCUCUUGGUAACCAGCUCUGAUCCCAUGUUAGAUUACCAUUUUACAUAAAAGCUUAAGCCGUUGGAUUAUGGGCCAACAAUGCAUAUCAAGCUUUAACAAAUAUAUUUAUGAUGGUUAUUCAUUUGGUAAUAGAAUUAGGUAUGGUGGGAAAACUCAUUUUUCUAUCUGUGCACAUUGAGCAUUCAUUUGCUUUCUUGCCCCAAGUUCCUCUUUCUUAAUUUUCUUCUUGAUUGAAUCUUGAUAAUUCUUGAUCUUGUCCUUCAAUUGUAUUCUUCCCGUUUGUUUCUUUACAAUUGAUUAGACUUGUUGUUAAUUGAAGCUUUGGUAUUCCUCUCUGCAACAUCUUAAAUUUGUUCUUGGAUUUGCUUUGAGAAUUACAGAUCAAAUCCUUGAGAAUCCUUUCAAAUCUAUAGUGAAAUUUCUUGGCUAUAGUCUUUGUGAAGUUCAAAUAUGAUGUUUGAGUAACAAUUGCAAAAUUAAAAAGUACAAAAAUUACAUUGAGCAGUUUGUAAUGGAUUCUUCCAAAGAAUCUGAGCUCUAGUACAUUCAGCCUGUUGAAUUAGUGGAAGGAUGAUGGUUUUCUUGCCGGAUGGAAUUUUCUGAAUUGGAAGCAAAUCUCUAGCAUCUACAUUUGUGAAAAAUAUCGUUGAGAUGAUGUGGAAAACACAGGUUACUACCAAAUUCUUGGAAAAUCGGCAUUGCAUGUCUGAAAAGGAACAACCAAAAAUGGAGAAGGUACCUAUAUGGAUGACAUUUUACUGUGGUCCUUCUGUUUAUUGGAACAUUCUUGAUCUUGUUUAUGCUACAUUAUAUCCAAUUUUGUUGGAUUUCCUUUUUAGUUGGGAGUCAUAUACAAAGCAGAAUCUUACAUGUACCAAAAUAUAUGUUGAAAUUUACAUUAAUGACUAGUUAUUGGAUUCUAUUGAAUUAUUGACUCCUACUGGUAGUUGACUUAGAAUUUGCUUGGAAGCCUUUUCAUAUGCUCCAUGUUUGGUCACUCCGGGGACAAGAUAGGAGACUACUUCGUAAAUAUGAAAGACCAGUCCCCAUCUUGGGCAAAGUCGGGAAGUCUUCUUACAAAAUUGACCCUCCGGCUUAGAUGAAAGUGCAUUAUGUGUUUCACGUCAGCUGCCUUAAGCCGUUCAACUCCGACACCGAAGAUCUAAGCAGAAGUUAGUCAAUUAGAGCAAAAUUGAAGACAGUGCAAUCCGACAGAUGAGAAGUUGAAGACAUCCUUGUAGACAGAGAGUUCACAUCCUCGAGGAAGAAGCGGCGGGAGUUCUUAGUGAAGUGGAAAGGACUUGGCGACGAAGAAAUCAGUUAGGUUUCUAUGGAAGAUAUGCAGCUGUUCGUAGACAAAGUUGAAGUGCACCUAGCGUCAAGCAUGAGGACUUCGAUUGUAUCAGUGGGGAGCGUCACAAGCCAAGCUUGUUCAGGGCAUUAUGAUUGCCUGUGACCGCUUGUCUUGUGCGUUUGGGAUGAGUUUCCAUAAUGUAAAUACUAGUGUAGGGUUGUUUUUCAGAGAUAGUUUUUCCCUAGGCUAAAAGGGGAAGUACGACUCCUCGGUCAUAUUGAUGUCUCCUAGUGCCAGAGUGAGAAUACCAUAGAAAGCUCUUUAAGGGAGGGUGAGUGUUCAUCAACUUGUAAAACUUACUAGCUAUUGUCAACGUGUUUAGCCUACUUGCCUCCCUCGCGAGACAUACAAUGUUUAUUGAGGUGUUGAUAAUGAAUUACGUUGUUUCAAUGUU